rnacentral:tRNA from 1 species
GCUGUAGCUCAGCGGCUGAGCAAUUGCCUUCCCUGUUCUGGGUUCAAUUCCCAGCAUCUCCA